rnacentral:rRNA from 1 species
UACAGAGGGUGCGAGCGUUAAUCGGAAUUACUGGGCGUAAAGCGCGUUCAGGCGGUUUGGCAAGUCGGGCAUGAAAUCUCUCGGCUCAACCGGGAGAGGUUGUCCGAUACUGCUGGACUUGAGGGCAGUAGAGGGUGGUGGAAUUCCGGGUGUAGUGGUGAAAUGCGUAGAUAUCCGGAGGAACACCAGUGGCGAAAGCGGCCACCUGGACUGUACCUGACGCUCAAACGCGAAAGCUAGGGGAGCGAACGGG